AGGGCUCCCCGGGGCAGUUUGGGGGUCCUUGGGGCAAUUAAGGGCUCCCUGGGGCAGUUUAGGGGCUCCCUGGGGCAAUUAAGGGCUCCCUGGGGCAGUUUAGGGGUCCUUGGGGCAGUUUAGGGGGUCUCGGGGGGUUUAAGAAGCACCCUCAGCCAGUUGGAGGGGUCCCUGGGGUAGUAGGGAGGGGCGCAGAAAAUUUUAAGGGGUUUCUGGGGCAGUUUAGGGGAUCCUAGGGGGAGUUGAGAAGGUCCGAGGAGUUUAAGGAGCUCCGCUGGGCAGUUGGGGGGCUCCCCGGGACAGUUUAGGGGGUCCAAGGGGCAGUUUAGGGGUCCCCGGGGCAGUUGAAAGGGGUCCUGGGGACAGUUGAGAGGGUCUGGGGGGGUUUAAGGAGCACCCUGGGCUUCUUGGGGGGUCCUCGGGGCAGCUGGGGGGUCCCUGGAGCAGUUAACAGGGUCUGGGGGAUUUAAGGAGCACCGUGGGGCAGUUGGGGGGGGUUCUGGUGGCAGCUGGGGGGGUCCCAGGGGCAGUUGAGUAGGUCCGGGGUGUUUAAGGAGCACCCUGGAGCAAAUGGGGGGGUCCCUGGCGUAGUUGGGGAGGAUUGUGGGGAGUUUAGGGGGUCCCUGGGGUAGUUGAGAAGGGUUGUGGGGCAGUUUAGGGGGUCCCCAGAGCAGGAUAGGGGUCUCAGGAUCAGUUCGGGGAGCCCAGGGGCAAUUCGGAGGACCUUGGGGCAGCUGGGAGGGGGGCAUGGGGCAGGUUAGAGGCCCUGAGGGCCAGUUGAGGGCCCUUUGGGGCAGUUUGGGGGUUCCUGGGGCAGGAUACAGAGUUGGGGGGGGGCAAUUUGAAGGGGCAGAUAAAAAACAAGGGGGCAGUAGGAGGAUGAAGGAUGAAGUCGGGGGGGGGUCCUUUGGCCCCAGGGGGACAGCGGUGACGGAGGGGUGCUCGAGAGGGAAAGCUGGGGCUGACGGGGGGCAGCUUGGGGGGCAUGUAGGGGCCGGGGGGGCAGUUGUUUCCAUGGGGCAGUUGUUGCUGCCCCUCAGGCGAUGCAGCGAAGGCGCCACGGAGGCCUCUGCACCACGGGGGGCACAGGUAGGUCCCCGUCCCCCUCCCCAUAUCCUGGGGAUUGGGUGCAAGGGGGUUCCUGGACGCUGGGGUCCCUAUCAGAGGGGUGUCCAGCAGCCCCCGCCCCCCCAAAAAAAAAACCACCUGGAUCCCACAGUGCAGGGGCCGGAGCUGAGGCACCCCAUCGCCAGCGACUCGGAGGACGACGAGACGUGGCGGUGCCCGACCACUGGCAACACCGCCUCACCCCAAGUUGUGCCAGAGAGCGACCCGGAGGAGCCAGAUGUGUGCCCAGACAUUCGCGUGCUCCGAAAGCGCCGUCCCACCCCAGCCCUGGGCCUCCGCACAGAUUUGGCCCAAUCCCACCUGGAUCCGGACGUCGGGGGACCCAAAAAGCGCCGUUUGUGUCCCAAAACUACCCCAGCUCCAGAUGUGGGGAACAAAACGGCAAUUUCAGACAUUCGGCCCCAAAAUCACUCCCCAAACCCAAAAGGGCAGGUGGAUCCAGAUGUGAAGCACCUGGGAGGCAGCACAGUGGCUCUUGGCAUUGAAAGCGAUACAGAUGACGAGAUGCACCCAAAAUCUGCUCUUUUUCACCCUAACCGUCACCAGGCCGCCCUGGAGGCAAGUGGUGACCCAAAUGUGGAGAAACGAGGCCCAAAUCCAGGUGCUGAAGGUGCCCAAAAUGGGCGUUGGAUGCUCGCGGUGGACAGCGACACGGACGUGGAGGAGGCUGACGUUCUUCCGUCUGUUGGAUGCCCAAAAAUGCGUCGAAAGGCCCAAAGGGUGCCAAAAGCCCCAGGUGUGGAGAUGAAGCCCCCAAAUCCAGAUGCUGGCAGUUCGAAAAAUGGAUUCCAGACGCUCGUGGUGGAUAGUGACACGGAUGUGGAGAUGGAGAGCUCAAAUUCAGCUGUGGAGGAUCCCCAACGUGGACAUCAGGCAUUCGGGGUGGACAGUGACACAGAUGUGGAGGAAGGUGGAGCAAAUCCAGCUGUUGGGCUGGCCAAAACCCCUCAAACGACCGAAAACACCCCGAACUCUUCAAACAUAAAGAUGAAGAGCCCACAUUCAGCUGUUAAAGGCCCCCAUGAGGAACAUCCACCGCUCACAGUAGACAGCGAUACUGAUGUGGAAGAGGACAGAGCAAAUCCAGAUGUUGUGUGCCUCCCAACCCCUCAAACGGCCCAAAACGCACCAAAACCCCCAAAUAUUGAGCUGGAGACUCCAAACCCAGAUGCUGACGGAUGCCAAAAGGAGAACUGGAUGCUUGUGGUAGACAGUGAUACGGACGUUGAAGACAACAUCCUUCCAGAUGUUGUCAGCCCAAAACCCCACGCAAUGACCCACAGAGACCCAGGUGUGGAGACCCGAGGUCAAGAUGCUGAGGGACCCAAAAUGAGAUGCCGGUCCCCACUGGUGGACAGCAAUACAGAUGUGGAUGAGGAGCCUUCGAGUGCAGAAGGCAGGGAUCCAAAACCGCAUCAAAUAACCCAAAAUGCACAGAGGAACCUGGAUGCAGAGAUGCGGACCCCGAGUCCACAUCCUAGAGAACCGCAAAGUGGGCACGAGAUGGUCAAAGUGGACAGCGAUACAGAUGUGGAUGAGGAGCCUUCGAGUGCAGAAGGCAGGGAUCCAAAACCACAUCAAAUAACCCAGAAUGCACAGAGAAACACGGAUGUGGAGAUGGAGACCCCAAGUCCACAUCCUGGAGAACUGCAAAGCGGACACGAGAUGGUCAAAGUGGACAGCGAUACAGAUGUGGAGGAGGAUGGGCUGAAUCCAGAUGUUGGGUGUCGAGAAACCCAUAGAAUGACCCCAAAAAUCCACAAUGACUCAGACGUAGCAAUAAAGACCCCAAAUCCUGAUCUUGAAGGUCCCCAAAACAGAGGCCAGAACCUGGAGGUGGACAGCGACACAGAUGUAGAGGGAGAAGACCUGAACCCAGAUGUUCCUGGCCUGAAAAACCACAAAACGCCCCAAAAUGCCCAGAAGGACCCAACUGUGGUGAUGGAAACCCCGAAUCCAGAUGUUGUCGGCCUCCACCGUGGCUCGAUGCCACCCGGCAGUGACAGCGACACGGAUGUGGAGGGCCUCGAGGACAUUGAAACUCCAAAAACGCGUCGGACCACACGUGAGGUUACCGGGAUGGGUGCUAAGAAUGCCGCUGCUCCAGAUGUUGAUCCUCGGUGGCACGCCUGGACCAAGGGGGGGCUAAAUGUGAAGGGGACAGCCCCAAAUCCAGAUGUUGGUCAGCACGUGGACCUAAACGUGGACAGUGAUACCAGGGUCGAGGACAAUGGUGUGGUGCCAGAUGUUGGGGCUGUACAAGGGGGGCAGGGGACACCUGGUGAUCCAGAUGUGGCGAUGGCACCCUUAGAUCCAGAUGUUUCCCCUCCUGUGACCCCCCAGAGUGGCAGCGACACCGACGUGGAGGAGGUGGCCCCCACUCCCUACGUUCGGAGCCUCCGGAGCAAAACCCGACCCCGAAAUCCAGAUGUUGUGGACACCGCAAUGGGCAGCGAUACCAAUGUGGGGCUGACGGACCCCAAAUGCCAGAAACCAGUCCAAAACAGGCAGGGUUUGCCCCCCAAAUCAUGCAGUGACGGAGGUGUGGAAGGAGAGGUGCCAAAACGGCAUGAUUUAGCCCCAAAUACAGACGCGGAGGACCCGAAUCCAGAUGACAAGGUGCAACAACACAACCCCCAGACCUCAGUGAUGGGCAGCGAUACAGAUGUGGCGCCAGCUGGUCUGGCCCCCAAAUCUCCAAUUACGGCCCCAAAUUUGAGCCUCGGUGGUGAUGCUGCUUGGGGAUCCAGGAGUGCUCAGGCCACCCCUCAUGGGGACACAGAUGCGGAGGUGGCAGAAAGUGAAACUGAGGGUGAGUGGGGUGGCCUUUGUCACCUCUGUCCCUUCCUUGAUCACCUUGGUUCCUUGGCCACCUGGGUUCCUUCCUUGGUUCUUUUGGUCCCCUUGUCCCCUUCCUUGGCCACCUGGGUCCCUUCCUUGGCC
rnacentral:lncRNA from 1 species